AUCAGUCAGGAUCUAAUGUUAAUUAAUGUUCUGUGUUCUACACAACCAAAAGGUCACACACACAGUCCAGCUUCAUACAGUGAAAUUUUUUGAAGUAAAGCACCUGUCCUUCCGAGAAAUCCUGAGCUCCAUUGUGUGGAGCAGCGCAAGCUUUCCAGGGAAUUCAUCCAAUUAAAGAAGGAAGAUGCUGAUGGGGACUUUAAUUGUGCCACCAUUCUGACAUCAGAGCACCCAAGUCUAUUUCAAAGCACUGCCCCAGAACAAGGAUGUGAGAGAUUUUCACCUACAGUAUGAUGUCCUUCAGGAGUCUGCAGCUGAGGGGUGUUAGCCUGAAGUGGUGGCAGCUGUCUGGCCUCUACCAGGCUUAUUCAUCCUGCUCUGUGGGCGCCACAUCUCCAUGUUCUGGUUUGUUUGACAGUUUUGCUGCAUUCUACACUCUCACGCACGCAUUUCUCACAUAUCCUUACACUACUGAUGCAGCUGA